UUGGACAGGGUCUUGCGUCGAG
rnacentral:siRNA from 1 species